rnacentral:rRNA from 1 species
GCGCCUACGGGGGGCAGCAGUGAGGAAUAUUGGUCAAUGGCCGAGAGGCUGAACCAGCCAAGUCGCGUGAGGGAUGACGGCCCUACGGGUUGUAAACCUCUUUUGUCGGAGAACAAAACCCGGGACGUGUCCCGGACUGCGUGUAUCCGAAGAAAAAGCAUCGGCUAACUCCGUGCCAGCAGCCGCGGUAAUACGGAGGAUGCGAGCGUUAUCCGGAUUUAUUGGGUUUAAAGGGUGCGCAGGCGGACCAUCAAGUCAGCGGUAAAAUCGUGGGGCCCAACCCCAUCCCGCCGUUGAAACUGGCG